GGUUAAGCGACUAAGCGUACACGGUGGAUGCCCUGGCAGUCAGAGGCGAUGAAGGGCGUGCUAAUCUGCGAUAAGCGCCGGUAAGGUGAUAUGAACCGUUAUAACCGGCGAUACCCGAAUGGGGAAACCCAGUGUGACUCGUCACACUAUCAUUAACUGAAUCCAUAGGUUAAUGAGGCGAACCGGGGGAACUGAAACAUCUAAGUACCCCGAGGAAAAGAAAUCAACCGAGAUUCCCCCAGUAGCGGCGAGCGAACGGGGAGGAGCCCAGAGCCUGAAUCAGCAUGUGUGUUAGUGGAAGCGUCUGGAAAGGCGCGCGAUACAGGGUGACAGCCCCGUACACAAAAGCGCAUGUGCUGUGAGCUCGAUGAGUAGGGCGGGACACGUGGUAUCCUGUCUGAAUAUGGGGGGACCAUCCUCCAAGGCUAAAUACUCCUGACUGACCGAUAGUGAACCAGUACCGUGAGGGAAAGGCGAAAAGAACCCCGGCGAGGGGAGUGAAAAAGAACCUGAAACCGUGUACGUACAAGCAGUGGGAGCACCCUUUGGGGUGUGACUGCGUACCUUUUGUAUAAUGGGUCAGCGACUUAUAUUCUGUAGCAAGGUUAACCGAAUAGGGGAGCCGGAGGGAAACCGAGUCUUAAUUGGGCGUUAAGUUGCAGGGUAUAGACCCGAAACCCGGUGAUCUAGCCAUGGGCAGGUUGAAGGUUGGGUAACACUAACUGGAGGACCGAACCGACUAAUGUUGAAAAAUUAGCGGAUGACCUGUGGCUGGGGGUGAAAGGCCAAUCAAACCGGGAGAUAGCUGGUUCUCCCCGAAAGCUAUUUAGGUAGCGCCUCGUGAAUUCAUCUCCGGGGGUAGAGCACUGUUUCGGCUAGGGGGCCAUCCCGGCUUACCAACCCGAUGCAAACUGCGAAUACCGGAGAAUGUUAUCACGGGAGACACACGGCGGGUGCUAACGUCCGUCGUGAAGAGGGAAACAACCCAGACCGCCAGCUAAGGUCCCAAAGUCAUGGUUAAGUGGGAAACGAUGUGGGAAGGCCCAGACAGCCAGGAUGUUGGCUUAGAAGCAGCCAUCAUUUAAAGAAAGCGUAAUAGCUCACUGGUCGAGUCGGCCUGCGCGGAAGAUGUAACGGGGCUAAACCAUGCACCGAAGCUGCGGCAGCGACGCUGAUGCGUUGUUGGGUAGGGGAGCGUUCUGUAAGCCUGCGAAGGUGGCCUGUGAGGGUUGCUGGAGGUAUCAGAAGUGCGAAUGCUGACAUAAGUAACGAUAAAGCGGGUGAAAAGCCCGCUCGCCGGAAGACCAAGGGUUCCUGUCCAACGUUAAUCGGGGCAGGGUGAGUCGACCCCUAAGGCGAGGCCGAAAGGCGUAGUCGAUGGGAAACGGGUUAAUAUUCCCGUACUUGGUGUUACUGCGAAGGGGGGACGGAGAAGGCUAUGUUGGCCGGGCGACGGUUGUCCCGGUUUAAGCGUGUAGGUGUGUGUUCCAGGUAAAUCCGGUUCACUUUAACACUGAGGCGUGAUGACGAGGCACUACGGUGCUGAAGCAACAAAUGCCCUGCUUCCAGGAAAAGCCUCUAAGCAUCAGGUAACAUCAAAUCGUACCCCAAACCGACACAGGUGGUCAGGUAGAGAAUACCAAGGCGCUUGAGAGAACUCGGGUGAAGGAACUAGGCAAAAUGGUGCCGUAACUUCGGGAGAAGGCACGCUGACACGUAGGUGAAGUGAUUUACUCAUGGAGCUGAAGUCAGUCGAAGAUACCAGCUGGCUGCAACUGUUUAUUAAAAACACAGCACUGUGCAAACACGAAAGUGGACGUAUACGGUGUGACGCCUGCCCGGUGCCGGAAGGUUAAUUGAUGGGGUCAGCGCAAGCGAAGCUCCUGAUCGAAGCCCCGGUAAACGGCGGCCGUAACUAUAACGGUCCUAAGGUAGCGAAAUUCCUUGUCGGGUAAGUUCCGACCUGCACGAAUGGCGUAAUGAUGGCCAGGCUGUCUCCACCCGAGACUCAGUGAAAUUGAACUCGCUGUGAAGAUGCAGUGUACCCGCGGCAAGACGGAAAGACCCCGUGAACCUUUACUAUAGCUUGACACUGAACAUUGAGCCUUGAUGUGUAGGAUAGGUGGGAGGCUUUGAAGUGUGGACGCCAGUCUGCAUGGAGCCGGCCUUGAAAUACCACCCUUUAAUGUUUGAUGUUCUAACGUGGACCCGUGAUCCGGGUUGCGGACAGUGUCUGGUGGGUAGUUUGACUGGGGCGGUCUCCUCCUAAAGAGUAACGGAGGAGCACGAAGGUUGGCUAAUCCUGGUCGGACAUCAGGAGGUUAGUGCAAUGGCAUAAGCCAGCUUGACUGCGAGCGUGACGGCGCGAGCAGGUGCGAAAGCAGGUCAUAGUGAUCCGGUGGUUCUGAAUGGAAGGGCCAUCGCUCAACGGAUAAAAGGUACUCCGGGGAUAACAGGCUGAUACCGCCCAAGAGUUCAUAUCGACGGCGGUGUUUGGCACCUCGAUGUCGGCUCAUCACAUCCUGGGGCUGAAGUAGGUCCCAAGGGUAUGGCUGUUCGCCAUUUAAAGUGGUACGCGAGCUGGGUUUAGAACGUCGUGAGACAGUUCGGUCCCUAUCUGCCGUGGGCGCUGGAGAACUGAGGGGGGCUGCUCCUAGUACGAGAGGACCGGAGUGGACGCAUCACUGGUGUUCGGGUUGUCAUGCCAAUGGCACUGCCCGGUAGCUAAAUGCGGAAGAGAUAAGUGCUGAAAGCAUCUAAGCACGAAACUUGCCCCGAGAUGAGUUCUCCCUGAGACUUAGAGUCUCCUGAAGGAACGUUGAAGACGACGACGUUGAUAGGCCGGGUGUGUAAGCGCAGCGAUGCGUUGAGCUAACCGGUACUAAUGAACCGUGAGGCUUAACCUU
rnacentral:rRNA from 1 species